rnacentral:lncRNA from 1 species
AUAAUAAUUCUUGCAACUUCCACUGAUUUGAAAGUCCCUCAAAGAAAAAUAGUACUGCAAAUAACUUGUGUAAAUUCAUGAUUUCUAUAUCCAUGAUACAUCUAAAAAGACACACAAGCGCGCGCGCAUACAUAUAUAUAUAUAUAUAUAUGAUCCAAUACCUUAGGUGCAAUCACAGAGUAGUCCAUUGUUGAAAACUUGGAAGCUUUUUGUGUAUAUAGAUAGAUAGAUAGAGAUAGAUAUAGAGAGAGAUAGAGAGAGAGAGAUUUAUAAUCCAAUACCUUAGGUGCAAUCACAGAGUAGUCCAUUGCUGAAAACUUUGAAGCUUUGUAGCUAUAAUCACUCUUCCUCUUUGUGAAAAGUAAAAAAAGGGAAAAGCUUUGGCUUAGAGAGAGAAGAUGGAAAUAAAGAUGAUUUUUAUCCCUUAUAUACAUAUUAAUCAUACUCAAAAUUUGGAAAUAAAUCUUAGGUGAGCUGUCCACAAAUAUUUUUUCCGUACAUAUAAUGUCAUGCAUUUUUUUUUAUGUGUUCAGGUUUUGUUUUAUUUAAAAGAGUUUGCCAAAAAACAGAUCUAAAUAUGGAAGGUGUAAUUAAAAAUUAAUGAGAAUAUAUAUUCUUAGCCAUGACAACUAUGAAAAAAAAAUGUAAAAAGAAAAGAUAUUAAUUCCUCCAAAAAGAACAAUCCUUUCUUUUUUGUUUUAUUAUGCAAAAUUAUUAGAUUGCCCUCCGUUGAAAAUUAAUAACAAAACUUUAUAUCUAAUACAAGAAUUAUUUUGUAAUUUUACAUAUAGAAAAACAAAAGACAAAGUGCUUUUUGAAGAAAUAGAGAGUUUGAAAAUUACUCUUCUUUUUUCACUGUUUGAUCAAGAUUUUAUAUUUUUUCGAUUUUACUUAUCAAGAGAAAUCGGAAAAUAUAAAAAUUAUCAUCUAAUUUGGAGGGGGGAAAAUUUACUAAAGACAAGAAAAGUAUUUUCACUUGAUAAAUUAGCUAAAUUUUUUGUCUUUAGUUGAAUUUGUUCUAACUUUGAAUAAAUUUUUUAUAUUUUUAAAUUUUCUUAUCAAAAAGGAAUCGAAAAAGUAAAAAAGAAUUAUCAAAUAGUGAGAAAAAAAUUCACUAAAGAAAAAAAAUUCAAAAUCAAAACAGCUAAAAAAUUUUAAAAAGCCUUAAGGCUAUAUUCGGAUCAAUGAUUCAAUGAGAGAAAAAAAAAAUAAAACAUUUAGAUAAACCAAUCAUACUGAAUCAUUGAACUAUCUCUUUUUUAUAUUUCUAUUUUAUUUUUUCAUUCCAAAUCAACCAAAUAUGUCUUAAGUCAAACGGAACUAUUAAUUACUAUAUGAAUUAUUUCAUACUCACAUGAGGUAUUAGUAUGUGUAUAUUUUUACUUUUAUGAAGUAUCCUUGGUAUCACUGUAUUUUUAUUUUUUUAUUUAAUUUUUAUUUUUUUUCAAAAACCGCUUUAACUUAGUAGGAAAAAUAUUUUGGAGAGAAUAUAGGAAAAGAAUCUUAGGAUUGUCAAAAAAGAUCCAGUGGAACCGAAAAAUUGUUCAAGUCCGAUCCUAAAUAGUUGGUUUGGUUUGGUUUUUUAAGGAGCCGAUUCGGUUCCGAUCCCAAUCCUAAAAACCAAUUUAGGUGGUUCGGUUCAGGGAUUUUUGGGACCGGUUCCAGUUCCAAAUUGAACCGAACUGGAUCGGAAAAUAUUAAUUUUUUUUAAAUAUUUAAUACAAUGAGUUCGCAUCAUAUAUCUAGUGAAACAUUCUCAUUGAAUUAAAAAUUAUAACUAUAAAUACAAAAAUUCUACCCAUAAUAUAUCUUUUAUUGUUGUUUUAUAAUUUUUUCAAACAUGCAUUUGUUAAUUUCUGAACAUCUUAACUUUAGACAUCUAAAUUUAUGCGCUCACCUUAUAGCUAGCCAUAUGGAGUGUUCGGUAGAAAAUUUGUGAUAUGAUAGAUAUAUAGUUGUUUUGUAAAAAAAUUAUCAUGAAUAUUUUUAUGUCAUGGAUAUGUGUGUGUGAUUGUUUUGUAAAAAAUUUAAUAAUUUAUCUACCAAAAUCAUGAUUUUAAACCAGAACCGAAUUGUUAUUUUUAGUUUCGGAUUGGAUUGGUUCCAAGUUUUGAACUGAUCAGAUUGGUUCAAAAUUUUCAAGAAACGUAGGGUUUGGUUCGGUUUGGUCUUUGGUUUUACUCAAAAUCGAACCAAUUUGAUAUGUGAACAUUCCUAAAAAUGAUUAUAGGAGAGAGAAAAGCCAUCUAUGAACAAUUGGGUGAGAAUAUUUGGACGUAAAUUUUGCUUUGUGAGUUGGAAUUUUAUGGAGGAAAGUAACAACACAUAUUUUCUUUCUUGCCCGCCAUUAAAAAUUUAAACACGCAUGUAAUGAAUAUUUUGUUUAUUUUUAUUAUAAAAAAAAUGGGGAAAUUUUGUUUAGCUGAAUUGAUAAGAAAAUAAAUAGUCAAAAGACUUGGGACGACCUAGUUUUUUUAUUUUGAGAAAUUUUUACUGCUUU